AACGAACGCUGGCGGCAUGCCUAACACAUGCAAGUCGAACGGGAUCCUAGCUUGCUAGGUGAGAGUGGCGGACGGGUGAGUAACACGUGGGAAUCUGCCUUUUGGUUCGGGAUAACCGCGGGAAACUGCGGCUAAUACCGAAUGCCCUCGAGAGAGGAAAGAUUUAUCGCCAGAAGAGGAGCCCGCGUCCGAUUAGGUAGUUGGUGGGGUAAAGGCCUACCAAGCCGACGAUCGGUAGCUGGUCUGAGAGGAUGAUCAGCCACACUGGGACUGAGAUACGGCCCAGACUCCUACGGGAGGCAGCAGUGGGGAAUAUUGGACAAUGGGCGAAAGCCUGAUCCAGCAAUGCCGCGUGAGUGAUGAAGGCCUUAGGGUUGUAAAGCUCUUUUACCCGGGAAGAUAAUGACUGUACCGGGAGAAUAAGCCCCGGCUAACUCCGUGCCAGCAGCCGCGGUAAU
rnacentral:rRNA from 1 species